rnacentral:rRNA from 1 species
AUUGAACGCUGGCGGCAGGCCUAACACAUGCAAGUCGAGCGGAGCGGCCGACGGGUGAGUAAUGCCUAGGAAUCUGCCUGGUAUUUUGGGAUAACGUCCGUUAACGGGCGCUAAUACCGCAUCCUCUCAGAUGAGCCUAGGUCGGAUUAGCUAGUUGGUGGGGUAAAGGCCUACCAAGGCGACGAUCCGUACCUGGUCUGAGAGGAUGAUCAGUCACACUGGAACUGAGACACGGGCCAGACUCCUACGGGAGGCAGCAGUGGGGAAUAUUGGACAAUGGGCGAAAGCCUGAUCCAGCCAUGCCGCGUGUGUGAAGAAGGUCUUCGGAUUGUAAAGCACUUUAAGUUGGGAGGCGUUACCAAAAGAAUAAGCACCGGCUAACUUCGUGCCAGCAGCCGCGGUAAUAC